CCCGCGGGGGGCAGUGCCAUAGGGCCGCUGCUGGGGAGCGGUGCUGCAGAGCUGCUGUUGGACAACGUUGCCGUGGGGCUGCAGCCGUCGGGGCUGGGGAGGCUGAGGGGCUGCCGCUGCAGGAGCCGGCGCUGGAGGUGGGAGCGGGGCAGCUGGAGGCUGUGGAGCUGCUGCCACCCUGGACGACAGCGCCGUGCUCCUGGACUCCAGUGACCCUUUCCUGCCGCAGCCCGAGGACGCGGCUCUGCCUGCCGCCGCUUCGCUCUUCACUGCAGACGGCGAUUUCCCACCGCUCCACAUCGACGCCAGCGACUUCCAGUGACCCCUCCCGGCCCCCUCGUGUAAAUAAACCCCUUCCUCCCCAUCA